GAUGAACGCUGGCGGCGUGCCUAACACAUGCAAGUCGAGCGUGAAGCUCUUUAUUGAUUCUUCGGAUGAUUUAAAGAGUGGAAAGCGGCGGACGGGUGAGUAACGCGUGGGUAACCUGCCCUAUACACAGGGAUAGCCUCGGGAAACCGGGAUUAAUACCUGAUAAAACUCUAGUAUGGCAUCAUACAUGAGUCAAAAUUUCAGUGGUAUAGGAUGGACCCGCGUCUGAUUAGCUAGUGUAGUAAGGCUUACAAGGCGACGAUCAGUAGCCGACCUGAGAGGGUGAUCGGCCACACUGGAACUGAGACACGGUCCAGACUCCUACGGGAGGCAGCAGUGGGGAAUAUUGCACAAUGGGCGAAAGCCUGAUGCAGCAACG
rnacentral:rRNA from 1 species